rnacentral:rRNA from 1 species
AGCGAACGUUAGCGGCGGGCUUAACACAUGCAAGUCGAACGAGAAUGAGGGAGCAAUCCUUCUAGUAAAGUGGCGGACGGGUGCGUAACACGUGGAUAAUCUACCUUCCGGCGGGGGACAACAGUUCGAAAGGACUGCUAAUACCGCGUACGUCGGCGAGGGCUCCGGCCCUUGUCGGGAAAGAUGGCCAAUCCUUGGAAGCUGUCACCGGAAGAUGAAUCCGCGGCCCAUCAGGUAGUUGGUGAGGUAAUGGCUCACCAAGCCUAAGACGGGUAGCUGGUCUGAGAGGAUGAUCAGCCACACUGGGACUGCGACACGGCCCAGACUCCUACGGGAGGCAG